rnacentral:lncRNA from 1 species
AAAUUUUUAAUUUAAUAUAGUUUUUAUAUGAAUAUUUUAAAAUAUUUUAUCAUAUCUUACGGUUUAUUUUAAUUAACUUAAUAGUGAUAUAACGCUGAGGUGACAACGAUGUGAUAAUAUUAUAGUCGUGGUAAAAUCUAAAAUGUUACUAUUGUCGUAUCAACGUUAUAUCAUUAUCUAGUCUGCUUAAAAGUUUGAACAAAAAAUUACAAUAAAUUAAGAUAUGAAUAUCAAACUGUCACUCAUUUGAUAAGUUGAGGACCAACAGUGUAAUCUGGCCUAUAAAAUACAUCUGACUAAUGAUCUAAAAGUUAGUCAGACUGUGACCCGGUGUAUAAAGCAAUUUGAUUUAAUCCUUUGAAGCGAAUAAGUCAAAAAACUGUUUUGAACUGUUAGAAUUAGGGGUUCAAUCAUGGAACUCAUGAGCUAGUCCGAUUUUAAUCAAACUAGCUGGAUUUUUAUUAUCAAGUCAUAUUAAUCCAACAACUUAAAUUGAACUAAGUUGAUUUUAUUUU